AAUAUCGGCGGCUUCUGUCCUGAGGCAACUCCCUUCCUAAAGUUUCCUUUCGUUCGAUAAUCGUCUACAAACAUUGCACGCCAGCGAUAUGUGCACGGCGCGUCUGACUCCUUUGUUGUUAGAAGGUGAAGCAACUUGAAAGUAACUCGUGACGUUUCUCAAGUAGCUUAGGAACUUGAAGUUCAUUUUCGUUACAUGCAACUUCGUUGGUAACUUGGUUACAUUUUUUGAACAGUAACUGGUAACCAGUUCCCUUUGUCGACUAACUUCCCCUUCUCUGCACGGCAAAAUGCACACACAGAAAUAGCUGUUUAAACAGCCAUGUGCUGUGAAUACAUGUAUCUUACCUCCAAGUUUCAGUACUUCUGCUUUGUGAACUCUUGCACAUGCUGGUGUGUGUGAAAUCAGUUGCUACAAAAACAUUCCACUUUUUGUGCAUGAAUGUGUUUUACAAUAAUGAAAUUUGUGGUGUGAAUAUUCAAUAGGCACUGCAAACACAUGUCCCUGAGUUGUGGGAUCACAAUGAGAACAACACACAUUUAACUCUUUUUGUUCUCAUUAUGAUCCCCAAACUCAUUAAUAAUUGAAUGUUUACGUCGUGAAACGACUGAGAUCAUGAGCGACGCCACAGCGGUCGGUCCGUGGAUUGCUUUUGCCCACCUGAGGGUUAUUUAACGCGCGAUGAAAGCUUACUACACGGCACCCCGUAUUUAACGUCCCUCGCGGAAGGCGGCGUGUCUAAGCAAUUUGUACCCUGCCACCAAGUUGCUGGCAUCCUCGGCCGGGUUCGAACUCGCGAUUUCGGGAUCAGAAGGCGAACACUCUACUGACUGAGCCACCUAGGCCGGUUAUCCCAAGCUCAGGGAACUAUGUUUGCAGUACAUAGAGCAGGUAGCUUGCCUACUUCUACUUUCUUCUGUAAUAGGUAAUAUUAGUUAACCUACUCAACAAAUCUUGGAACAUAUAUAAAUGCACUUUCUCCUUUCGCUUACCUGCCCAGAAUAGAACCUACCAGUGGUACGUUCCCAGAACCUAUCCGGAUCACAACUGUCUCUCUUAACAACACUUCUCACGUUCGAGCGCUCCCAUUGUGUAGACACACUUUCACUUUUCCUAGCAUACCUGAAAUGUUGUUUUUAUUGUUGUGUCAUCUCCAUGUGCCAGACUCUCCCAUAUACAGACACAGACAGCACUUGCCCAUUUUAGCACUAUGCAUUGGAACCUCCCCACACCUGACACUGGCAUUUGACAUGGUUCAAGACAUUCUACAUUUCUUUCCUUUCCUUUUUCUGUUCGCGAACGCUGAAUGAAGCAAAAAGACACACUGGGGUUCCUGAUUUCCUCAUCGGAGCAACACCGUACAAUAGAAGUCGACAAGAAUGCAGACACAUAAUGACGUGAGGAUGCAUUACCUGGUGACCUGUUUCCUGGUUGGUCACCUGCCAUUCACUACUAGAGUAUCGCCCAGAGGAAGAAAUAUGCGACCCAAGUGUUUCAUGCUUUUCUUGGGAUCUGCACGCUGCUGCAGAACUUUGUUUCCAUGGUGCACUCGUUGUAUGGUGAACGUCAUGUCACGUUCAACGUGCAUCAGGUGCUGCAUCUCUGCAAAUCGACAGAGUAUUUGGGGCCGUUAUGGGCACACUCAGCCUUUGUGUUUGAGGGCGGAAAUGUCCACCUUUCGUAAACGGUUACUGCAGCAAAGGGCGUGCCUGUUCAAGUCGUAGAAAAGGUGAUGCUCCUUCAACAACUCCGUCUGCUGCUAGGUUCCCUGCCACACAGAGCAUAAGUCAAGAAGAUCUGCAGCGAGAUGCUUCAGGUGCGGCAUGUGCAGAACUUCAGUAGCGUUGAAGGUGCAUUGCUGCUUCGAGUUGCACAUCAUGUGAACCAGUUUACACCAGAGGAGACAGAAGUUUUUUUAGAGAGUACAACACUGUCCCAACUACAGCCAAAGAGUACCAGCGGUUCCUUUGGGGAGGUCAAGUUUACCACAGCCAGAGAUAUACAAAGAGCAAAAAGAGCAACGCGACAGUGAUUGUAACAGAAACAAAUAACAAUCUGUGCAUUCUGCGAAUAUUUCAGGUGAACUGUGAUGGUGGGGACUAGUGUGUUCUGGUAUGCAGACGAUUUGUUCUAGUGGAUGGGGAAAAUCAGUUCCCACAUCAUAUAAAGGGUGUUUCUUGCCACCAUCCGGGCCACUGAUGCUUGCGGAAGUAGGCGAUAUUAAACGCGUGUGCUUGUA